CCAUUGCUUUACUUUGCCGGCAUUCGUCAUAAAAUGGCAAGCUUGCAAAGCGAGGAAGCCGGUGCAAGUCCGGCACGGUCGCGCCACUGUAAGCGGUCGUCGUUUUUUUCGGCACCGCAAGUCAGACCCCGCUGCAAGCUCUUAGCGAUC
rnacentral:ncRNA from 1 species